rnacentral:lncRNA from 1 species
CUUUGGGUAGUUAUCAUCUCUUUAAGAAAGGAAAAAAGAAGAAGAAUAAGAAGGUACUUGGUACUGGGAGUCAGUCCCAUAAACCCAAGUUCAAGGCUGAUCAAAGUUAGGCAGAGUGCUUCUUUUGUAAGAAGCAGGAUCAUUGGAAGAAGAAUUAUUCUCAGUAUAUCGCUUCCCUUGAUCCGAACAGGCCAAAAAAGAAGAAGCAAUCAGUUGCUGGAUAAAGUACUUAUGUGAUAACACCU